UACAGAGGGAGCAAGCGUUGUUCGGAAUUACUGGGCGUAAAGGGCGCGUAGGCGGUCUUGUAAGUCCCGUGUGAAAUCCCUCGGCUCAACUGAGGAACCGCACGGGAAACUGCUUGGCUUGAGUUCGGGAGAGGGACGUGGAAUUCCGGGUGUAGCGGUGAAAUGCGUAGAUAUCCGGAGGAACACCGGUGGCGAAGGCGGCGUCCUGGACCGACACUGACGCUGAGGCGCGAAAGCUAGGGGAGCAAACGGG
rnacentral:rRNA from 1 species